rnacentral:rRNA from 1 species
CGUAGGUGGUUCGAUAAGUCGCUGGUGAAAUUCCGGGGCUCAACUCCGGAGCUGCCGGCGAGACUGUCGGACUUGAGCACGGUAGGGGCAGAUGGAAUUCCCGGUGUAGCGGUGGAAUGCGUAGAUAUCGGGAAGAAUACCAGUGGCGAAGGCGUUCUGCUGGGCCGUUGCUGACACUGAGGCGCGACAGCGUGGGAGCAAACA